UGGCGGACGGGUGAGUAACGCGUGGUAACCUGCCUUACACAGGGGGAUAACACCUGGAAACAGGUGCUAAUACCGCAUAAGCGCACAGGGCCGCAUGGCCCGGUGUGAAAAACUCCGGUGGUGUAAGAUGGACCCGCGUCUGAUUAGCUUGUUGGCGGGGUAGAGGCCCACCAAGGCGACGAUCAGUAGCCGGCCUGAGAGGGUGGACGGCCACAUUGGGACUGAGACACGGCCCAAACUCCUACGGGAGGCAGCAG
rnacentral:rRNA from 1 species